rnacentral:rRNA from 1 species
AUGAAGCGCAACAGAGCAGCUGCCCAGGACGGCUUUCCUGCCGAGUUCUUUCAAUUUUUCUAGAACCUCAUUUGUAACGAUCUCCUUAGGCUUUUUCAUGACUUUUAUGAGGGCAAGAUUAACAUUUCAAGGCUUAACUAUGGUGUAAUCACUUUGCUUGAUAAGGGGCAGGGGGCUGAUAGGAUUCAAAUGUACCGCCCCAUUUGUAUGCUGAACGUACCUUUUAAAUUUUUUACAAAAGUUCUUAACAAUAGAGCUAUGAAAAUUGCUGAUAAAACAAUUUCUAAAGCUCAAUCUGCGUUUAUAAAGGGUCGCUACAUCCGGGACAAUGUGCUUAUGCUUCAUGAAGCUAUCCACUCUUUACAUAGAAAUAAAUGUUCUGCUGUGCUUUUUAAGGUUGAUUUCGAAAAAGCUUACGAUAAAAUUAAUUGGAGUUUCAUGCUUGAUGUCCUAAAGAUGAAAGGCUUCCCUGAACGUUUUGUCCAGUGGACAAAAGAUGUCGUUAGUAAUGGAAAGGUUGCCAUCACUAUUAAUGAUGUUAUUGGCCCGUAUAUUGUUACUAGGAAGGGUUUGAGGCAAGGGGACCCGUUUUCCCCCUUGCUUUUCAAUUUGGCGGCUGAUGUUCUUGCUACCCUGGUGCAAAGGGCGCAAGAACAAGGAUUUAUCAAGGGAGUUUGCCUAGGUUGUAUGUAG